UAUUACGGCCGUGCCACCCUGAGCAUGCCCAAUCUGGUCUGGAGCUAAGCAGGGUCGGGGAUGGGUAGCACUUGGAUGGGAGACCGCAGUGAAACCAGGAGCCACAGGGG
rnacentral:rRNA from 1 species